rnacentral:rRNA from 1 species
GCCACUGCUAUUGGGGUUCGGCUAAGCCAUGCGAGUGGAGGGCAUCCCGCAAGGGAUGGCCCCGCAGACGGCUCAGUAACACGUCGUCAACCCACCUUAGGGUGGGGGACAACCUCGGGAAACUGAGGAUAAUCCCCCAUAGGCGGGGGAGGCUGGAAUGCGCCCCCGCUGAAAGCUCAGGCGCCCUAGGACGGGACGGCGGCCUAUCAGGUAGUUGGUGGUGUGACG